AGGAUGGCUGUAGGACACAUAGCAACAGUGUGUCGGGAGUGCCUGCAAGGCCUGGCUUUCCUUCAUGCCAACCAGGUGAUCCACAGAGACAUCAAAAGUAACAACAUCCUUCUGGGCCGGGAUGGCUCCGUCAAGCUGGCCGAUUUUGGCCUCUGUGCUCCGUUCAGCCCUGAG